rnacentral:rRNA from 1 species
UACGAAGGGGGCUAGCGUUGCUCGGAUUGACUGGGCGUAAAGGGCGCGUAGGCGGUUUGCAUAGUCAGACGUGAAAUUCCUGGGCUUAACCUGGGGGCUGCGUUUGAUACAUGCAGGCUUGAGUUCGGAAGAGGGUCGUGGAAUUCCCAGUGUAGAGGUGAAAUUCGUAGAUAUUGGGAAGAACACUGGUGGCGAAGGCGGCGACCUGGUCCGAUACUGACGCUGAGGCGCGAAAGCGUGGGGAGCAAACAGG